CGGAGAUUCAGCAAUGGAUCUUAGUGGCGAACGGGUGAGUAACGCGUAGGCAAUCUGCCUUCUAGAUGGGGACAACAUCCCGAAAGGGGUGCUAAUACCGAAUGUUGUAAUUGGUUCGCAUGGACUAGCUACUAAAGGUGGCCUCUGAAUAUGCUACCGCUAGAAGAUGAGCCUGCGUCUGA
rnacentral:rRNA from 1 species